rnacentral:tRNA from 1 species
GGUGUGGAUGCAAGGUGUCGCACGCGGGAUUGAAGAUCCCGAAGUCUCGGUUCGAGUCCGAGAGAGACCACCA